rnacentral:rRNA from 1 species
CCUACGGGCGGCAGCAGUGGGGAAUAUUGCACAAUGGGGGAAACCCUGAUGCAGCAACGCCGCGUGAGUGAAGGAGUCUUUCGGUAUGUAAAGCUCUAUCAGUAGGGAAGAAGAAAGACGGUACCUGACUAAGAAGCCCCGGCUAACUACGUGCCAGCAGCCGCGGUAAUACGUAGGGGGCAAGCGUUAUCCGGGUUUACUGGGUGUAAAGGGAGCGUAGACGGCUGUGCAAGUCUGAAGUGAAAGCCCGUGGCUCAACCCCGGGACUGCUCUUGGAACUGCAUGGCUGGAGUACAGGAGGGGCAGGCGGAAUUCCUAGUGUAGCGGUGAAAUGCGUAGAUAUUAGGAGGAACACCGGUGGCGAAGGCGGCCUGCUGGACUGUGACUGACGUUGAGGCCCGAAGGCGUGGGGAGCAAACAGGAUUAGAUACCCGUGUAGUC